GUAACACACCGGAACAUACCCAGUCGUGGGGGAUAACACUUCGAAAGAAGUGCUAAUACCGCAUACGUCCUGAGGGAGAAAGCGGGGGAUCUUCGGACCUCGCGCGAUUGGAGUGGCCGAUGUCAGAUUAGCUAGUUGGUGGGGUAAAGGCCUACCAAGGCGACGAUCUGUAGCUGGUCUGAGAGGACGACCAGCCACACUGGGACUGAGACACGGCCCAGACUCCUACGGGAGGCAGCAGUGGGGAAUUUUGGACAAUGGGGGCAACCCUGAUCCAGCCAUUCCGCGUGAGUGAAGAAGGCCUUCGGGUUGUAAAGCUCUUUCGGCAGGAACGAAACGGCACGCUCUAACAUAGCGUGUUAAUGACGGUACCUGAAGAAGAAGCACCGGCUAACUACGUGCCAGCAGCCGCGGUAAUACGUAGGGUGCGAGCGUUAAUCGGAAUUACUGGGCGUAAAGCGUGCGCAGGCGGUUGUGUAAGACAGGUGUGAAAUCCCCGGGCUUAACCUGGGAACUGCGCUUGUGACUGCACGGCUAGAGUAUGGCAGAGGGGGGUGGAAUUCCACGUGUAGCAAUGAAAUGCGUAGAGAUGUGGAGGAACACCGAUGGCGAAGGCAGCCCCCUGGGCCAAUACUGACGCUCAUGCA
rnacentral:rRNA from 1 species